CCUACGGGUGACAGCAGUAGGGAAUAUUGCUCAAUGGGGGAAACCCUGAAGCAGCAACGCCGCGUGGGGGAUGAAGGUUCUCGGAUUUGUAACUCCUUUUUUUAGAGAAGAUAAUGACGGUAUCUAACGAAUAAGGACCGGCUAACCCCGUGCCAGCAGCCGCGGUAAUACGGAGGGUGCAAGCGUUACUCGGAAUCACUGGGCGUAAAGAGCGCGUAGGCGGGAUAGCAAGUCAGAUGUGAAAUCCUAUGGCUUAACCAUCGAACUGCAUUUGAAACUGUUAUUCUAGAGUAUGGGAGAGGUAGGUGGAAUUCUUGGUGUAGGGGUAAAAUGCGUAGAGAUCAAGAGGAAUACUGAUUGCGAAGGCGACAUGCUGGAACAUAACUGACGCUGAUGCGCGAAAGCGUGGGGAGCGAACAGGAUUAGAUACCCGAGUAGUC
rnacentral:rRNA from 1 species